AGUGAACAGGCACCAUGUCAUUGGUCCAGCCUAUUAGACAGGGAGCUAACAAUACCUGUCCUAGCUCAUCAGCCCAGUGAAAAGUAUCUGGGUGGGCCACCUAUACUAUCUGCUAUAGAAGCAGAUGACAUCAAUGGUUGCUAUUCAGGAAGGUGGGCUGUUUUUGAGAAAGACAAGCAAGGUUUUAAUCAGCCACUAGGUUUUAUCAUGGCUAAUCCAAAGACAAACACAUGGGACAAUACCAAAUUCAAAACCGAGGAAGAAUGAUCAAACACACUAAAAUAAUUCAAGAACAUCACAACAUAAUGCACCACCCUCUCUUUGCUUGCACCAGACCUCAAUUUACAUGUUUCUCAAUAUAACAUCAUCUACCUACUGAGUCAAGAAGGGUUUGAGGCUAGUACUAGAUGGUCAAGGUCUACUUUAAUUUAAGAAGAAUCAUUUCAACAGUAGCUUCUUGCAAGAUACAUCUAGGAAGG
rnacentral:lncRNA from 12 species